CAUUAGCCCAGAUAGUAAUGGAAAUCCUUUCUAGUCCUGAACUUGUUUCAGGAUCCUGAAACAAGUUCAGGACUAGAAAGAUUGUAAUGGAUAGCUGGAAAUAGC
rnacentral:sRNA from 1 species